rnacentral:misc_RNA from 1 species
GCUUCAUUGUUUCCCCACCUAACGACCAGGGCUGCAUGGUUUCAGCAUCGAUUGCUCAAACCAUCGAUAUAUCGGUUCGAGCGCGUGGUAUGCCGCACGCUUUAUUUUCGCAAGUUGACUAAAUUAUUUACUAACCGUGAGACUGCUGUGAAUCUGUUGGUGCGCGUUAAACGUAUUUUCACAUUUUGUCCACAUUGACGAUGUCAGAGGGCGGUGAAAACGGUAACGAGGCGCUGGCCGGGGCGGCGCAGGAGGACGUUGAUGCGGAAGCCGAGAGAGAGGCUAUCAUAGCGAUGGCCGAAGCUGUGGCAAUUGCAUACGAAAGCGACGAUGAUAAUGAUGAUGAGGCAGCCGCAGAAGAGGCAGGAGCAGAGGAGGAUGCCAUGAGCGGUGGUGAUGCGGAAGCCGCUGAGGAAAACGAGAGCGACAGCAGCCCCGCCGCCGACGAUGCCUUUGGCAAUCAAGAAGAAGACGCAGCCGCCGAUAGGCGCUCGUCCACCAAGAAAGAGCUGACGCAAAUCAUCGACCGCUGGGAGCAGCAGCAGACUCAAAGUGGCUACGAUCCCGUGCCCACUCUGAAGAGUCUGGCGGAGAUUUUUGAGCGCGAAAAGGACGCCUACAUGCGCAAGGAUCCGGAUCCCUUGGACUCGAGGCAUCCAUAUCGCGCCGAUCCCAGCUGCCAGUAUGGGCUGCUCCUCAAGUUGCUCUUCCGCAAAGAUGUGUUCAUGGGGAAGUUGCUAAACGACUAUCUGCGCGAGAACUACUUCAGUCGCCAGACCAUCAGUCGCAGCUCCCUGGAGCUGAACAUCCUGGCGUGCCGCCUCAUCCUGGAAAUUAUGCCAGGUCUGGAGACAACUGCCGUCUUCCAGACAGCCAACGACGAUGGCACUAUCAAUCGCAUCUACAGCUGGGCGGAGGACAGCAUCGAGCCGCUCCAGAGCUAUGCAACCGGACUUCUUGCCGAGGCCAUGGAGGUCAGCGACAUUGCGAUCAACUAUCGCGAUCAGAACAUGCGUCUGGUACCCAAGAUGAUCAAGCGCCUGCACAUGCUUCUGGCCAUAAGCAAAAGCGCCUCAGCGGACCACCCAUCGGCGCUAAACUAUUCAGCCGACAGCAGCGCCUCUGGCGGACUGCUCUGUUGGAUGGCCUGCGGCAACGGAGCGUCGGCUCCGCAGUCGCCGCAGCACAACGGAAGCGGCAUUGCGAGCUCAAACCAUGGCGAUGCCUCCAACAUGUCGAUUCUCUUCGAGAACAGCCGCGAUGCUUUCUCCCAGUCGCGCUACUACAAGCGGAUGUAUAUACCGCUGCACCCGCCAACGGCCGAUGCCAGCCAAAAGCUGAUCAUGCGGUUCCUCACCAGCCUCGGCGAGUACCAGGAAUUCCUGGCCAUGGCCUUCGAGAACAACGUGAUGCAGCUGAUAUUCGGCUAUCUGGAGAACCUCGAUCGCCGCGACACUUGCCUCGCUUACGAGGUGCUCAAGUACUUGGCCUCCCUGCUUUGCCACAAGAAAUUCGCUCUGGAGUUUAUAUCCCACGGCGGCCUGGAGCUGCUGCUGAAAGUACCGCGCCCUAGUCUGGCCACCACGGGCGUGUCCAUUGCCAUUUACUAUCUGGCGUACUGCGAGGAUGCCAUGGAGCGGAUAUGCAGCAUGCAGCGUCCCCUCAUCUCGGAGCUGGUGCGCUACGCGUUGUGGAUAUUGGGUCGCUGCCACGACUCCUCCAAGUGCCAUGCCACCAUGUUCUUCAGCCUGAGCUUCCAGUUCAAGGUGAUUCUGGACGAGUUCGAUGCCCAGGAUGGUCUCCGUAAACUCUACAAUGUUAUAUCCGUGCUGAAGAUACUCGAUCCCAGCCAGAAUGACAGCGACAACGAUUCGGAUAUCAACGAUGAUGUGGAGUGCGCCUCCCGCCAGAUGGUGCGUCACGUGUGCGUGGCCCUCAAGCGCUAUAUGGAGGCGCAUUUCUUCUUCAAGUACAACAGCUUCCUGUCGCAACACUAUGCGACCUCCACCUCUCCGUCGUCGGCGCACUACUUCAACCAGAACCCCACAGUGGCGGCCAAACUCACCUUCGACCAGUUGCACGAGCAGAUACGCACUCUCCAGGAGCACACAUCGAUCCGCGGCCACUGGCAGCCCGUGGACCAGCUGAUGAAGCUGGGCGGCAUCUCAAUGCUGCUGCGAAUCAUAGCCUUCAGCUACGACUGGGUGAACAGCGGUCGCUCGGAGACGGUUCGGUCUGCAUUGGAUGCGCUAAGCGUGUGCUGUGUGAUUCCCCGGGUCUAUGUGGUGCUGUGCGAGCGCAUACAGAUGCUGGACAAGACGACCACCUCGGGCUUCUGCUCGGUUCUGGGAGCGGCAGCCGGAGAAAUCACCUCCGACGCCGAGGUGCUGAAGUCGGCUCUGGCCGUGCUCUGUCACUGCGUCUGCUCGCCGAUCAUACGCAAGGACAGCGGAAACAGCCUGAUCAAGUUUGGCAGCUCCUCUAAAAGGAACAAGGCCAACCACAAGUAUGCCGAGGAGCUGAUCGAGAAGGUGUGGGAGUCGGUCUGCUCCAACAAUGGGAUUGUGGUCCUGCUCUCCCUGAUGCAGACCAAGGGCCCCAUCACAGAUGCGGACUGCAUUAGAGGAAUGGCCUGCCGAGCUCUGGCCGGUCUGGCCAGAUCAGACCGCGUCAGGCAGAUCGUCAGCAAGCUUCCCCUGUUCGCCGGUGGGCAGCUGCAGUGCCUGAUGAGGGAUCCCAUUCUGCAGGAGAAGAGAGCCGAGCAUGUGAUCUUCCAGAAAUACGCCCUCGAGCUGCUCGAGCGCGUAUCGGGCAAGACCAAGGCGCUGAACAAUCCGCUGGAUCCAUCGCUCUCCAACAUGCACAAGGCAAACGUGAUUGCCCAGACCCGCAUCCAGUACAACGAGCAGCAGCUCUACCAGCUGAUCUUCGAGCACCUGGAGAGCAAAGGCCUCUCGCAGACCGCCCAGAUGCUGCAGCGCGAGGUGGGGCUUCCGUUGCAGACUCCCACCACCAGGAGUUUCCAUCAGUCGCCUUUCGACUACAAAGCUCUCUGCAGUGGCAGCUCCAUUUCCAGGAGUCGCCUGAGGAGCCGCAUGCAGGACGUGAAUGCGGCAAUCAUGUCGAAUGGCGAGAUGAAUCGGAGUUAUAACGAGGACUCGCCCUACGGCGGGGCUAGCACCUCCACAGCCAGCAUACCCAACUUUAGUAGCAUCUCCGUCCAAACGCCGAUCAAGAUACGGAGGACUGAGCGCUCCAUCAGCUCUGUGGGCCGCUCCAUACAGAAGCAGAUUGCCGAGCCCGGCUGUAGCGCUAUAGGUCUGCCGGAAGACUUCGCCUCCUCGGUUCCCCUACACCCGAAGCGGGUGACCCUCAACACGAUCGUGACGGAGUAUCUAACCAACCAGCACUCGCUGUGCAACAACCCGGUGACGACCUGCCCGCAGUUUGAUCUGUACGAGCCGCACAAGUGCCCCGAUCCACGGCCCAGCCGCUUGCUCAGCUCCAACUACAAUCUGACGAGUCGACACUUCCGCACCCAGGCAGGCUUCACCACGGGACGCUUUGACCGGCGGUAUGUGCACACGCACUUCUCUCCCUGGCGCACCAUUCGGUCGGCUGAGUACGAGGAUCUGGAGUUCACCUGCUGCGACCUCGUGGGCAAGUACAUCAUCGUGGGCACCCAGCAGGGCGAUGGUCGGGUCUUCAACAUGAACGACGGCGUCGAGCAGUUCUACUCCAACUGUCACAACUUCAGUGUAGAUGCGAUCAAGGCCAACCGAGCUGGGGACCUGGUCAUCACAUCAAGCUUCUGGCGUACUCCCACCAGCAUCCUAUGGUCCAUUGCGGACAACGAGUUCAAGUUAAAGCUGACUCUAUCCGAUGUCACAUACUGCGAGUUCAGUCAGACCUCGCAGGAUCGCCUCUUGGGUACACAGAACGAGUGUGCCACGCUCUUCGACAUCAACACGGGCUCCAAGCUGUCCACCUUCACCCCCACCAUACCCAACCAGUAUACUAAGAACCGCGCCACGCUUUGCCGCACCGACGAACUGGUUUUGUCAGAUGGUGUGCUCUGGGAUGUGCGUUCCGGCAAGGAGAUCCACAAGUUUGACAAAUUCAAUCAGUGUAUAUCCGGAGUCUUCCAUCCAAACUGCCUGGAGAUUAUAUCCAACACUGAGGUGUGGGACCUGCGCACUUUCCAUCUGCUGCAGACGGUGCCAGUUCUGGAUCAACGCAAUUGCACGUUCUCGCCAAUGCAUGUGAUUUAUGGGGCCAGCCUGGGAACGGACAGGGACCACGACAUGGACACCACCACCUAUGAUACGAGCUUCAACGUGCUUGACGCCUACGACUACUCGAGUAUAGCCACCAUCGACGUGAAGCGGAACAUCAAUGACCUGAGCGUCAGUGCGAACGGGAGUCUGAUUGCCGUGGUCGAGGAUUACAGUGGCUACGAAUCGAAGCAGGAGACUUAUGUGAAGAUCUAUGCGGUUGGCGUGAAAAAGAGCGAGCGAUCGGAAGAGGUGCGUGCGGUUAAGGAUCUAGCCAACGAGGUGGGCGGACGCAAUAGCGCCGAGGCGGAGGCACCUGCACAUUCACCACACUCUCAUGGCAAUGGUGGCGAAGCUCUACUUCGUGUGUUUGAUGAUGUGUCGCGCCCACCAGCCGGGGGCGGUGCGCCAGAAAGUCCACUGCUCCGUACCAACAACGAACAGGAGAACAACCCACGGCCACGCCGGGACAGUCCCGCCUCGAACGCAAGUCCGAAUCUUUCUCGCCAGCAUGCACCCAACAGCUCAAUUGUUGGGGUGCGACGGCGAGCACGUACACUGGGUGGCAAUGGCAACGGAGUUGGAGUUGGCGGUGGCGGCGUCAACGCUGCCAUCGAUCUCAGAGCUCUUAUGCGGCGUAUGGAUGAUAUUGAAUUAAAUAUUAUGUCUAUGCUUGCAGGAAGAUGAUGAGGAGGUGCCCGAAUCUGAUGAGGACGGCUCCGAUACGGGUUCCGAAAACAGUCCGAAUUUUCUGCAAUUUCCGAUGCUUCGCAAUUUUAACUCUUCGAGCAACGAUGAUGACGGGGAUGAUAUGGAUAAUGACGGAUAUGAUA